rnacentral:rRNA from 1 species
UACGUAGGGAGCAAGCGUUGUUCGGAUUUACUGGGCGUAAAGGGCGCGUAGGCGGUCAAUCAAGUCGCAUGUGAAAUACCAGGGCUCAACUCUGGGGGGUCAUGCGAAACUGAAUGACUUGAGUGUAGUAGAGGAAAGCGGAAUUCCUGGUGUAGCGGUAAAAUGCGUAGAGAUCAGGAGGAACACCGGUGGCGAAGGCGGCUUUCUGGGCUAUAACUGACGCUGAGGCGCGAAAGCGUGGGGAGCAAACAGG